CGCGCAGGCGGUCCUUUAAGUCUGAUGUGAAAGCCCACGGCUCAACCGUGGAGGGUCAUUGGAAACUGGGGGACUUGAGUGCAGAAGAGGAAGGCGGAAUUCCACGUGUAGCGGUGAAAUGCGUAGAGAUGUGGAGGAACACCAGUGGCGAAGGCGGCUUUCUGGUCUGUAACUGACGCUGAGGCGCGAAAGCGUGGAGAGCAAACA
rnacentral:rRNA from 1 species